UGGGAUUCAGUGUUUGCAUGCUCCCAAUAUCUUGCAUCUCGUAGUCAAGCCUCAACGAGAAUACUCAAGCAAAUUGGUCGUACAACUGAAGGUUACUUGAUUAGGAAUUGCUCAAAAUUCCUAAGAUUGGAAUAUUACAUUAUAAUAUGAGCUAAUGUCAAAAUGAGAGAGAGAUAGAGGGGCAAUUUUUUUUUUUUAAUUUUAAUGUUAGGGGUAAUUUUAUACUUUUACAUAAAAAAUGAUUAAUUUUUUAAAAAAUAUUUAAUAGACUAAUUUUUAAAUUUACUACUAUGAAAGUGGCCAAGUUCAUAUAUUACCUCUUAAUUUAACUCAUAAAUAAUAUUCCUUCAGUCCCACCGAAGUUGAGGCGUUUCUUUUGGGCAUGAAAUUAAGG
rnacentral:lncRNA from 1 species